CUGCUCACUUUGGCAGCAUAUAUACUAAAAUUUGAACGAAACAGAGAAGAUUAGCGUGACCCUGCACGUGGAUGAAAUACAAAUUUGUGAAGCGUUCCAUAUUAAA
rnacentral:snRNA from 1 species